rnacentral:misc_RNA from 1 species
AAGUCGUAACAAGGUUUCCGUAGGUGAACCUGCGGAAGGAUCAUUAAUGAAUAUGGAAUAUCUUUAUUCUUAAACCCACCCUGAGUAUUUGUACUAGUUGCUUCCGUGGGCAGUGAAUGCUGUGUUUGCGCCCGCCGAUGAGGCGGACCCACGGGAGACAUACAUAAAAUCUGUUUUUUUGUUUUAAAUAGUCCGACCUUGUUUAUUCUUUAAACGUUAAAAACUUUCAACAACGGAUCUCUUGGUUCUC